GGGGUUCAAAUCGGAGAAUGGGGUUCAUUAUUUUGGCAAACAGAAGAGCGGGGUUCAAAUGCGGUGAUCCGAGGAUCAUUUGCGCAAGAGAAAAUCUUGGGGUUCAAGAAAAUGAAAAAUAGAGAAAAUUUCGGGGUUCAAGAAAAGCAUAAAAAGAAGAAAGAAUAACAAUCCCGAGCGGAUGUGUGGUGAUCAGGCCAUGGUUAUCCCUGUGUUACCAUUUAUUUUGGUAUCCGGGUCGACUGUUUCGGUG
rnacentral:lncRNA from 1 species